rnacentral:rRNA from 1 species
UACGAAGGGGGGCUAGCGUUGCUCGGAAUCACUGGGCGUAAAGCGCACGUAGGCGGAUCUUUAAGUCAGGGGUGAAAUCCUGGAGCUCAACUCCAGAACUGCCUUUGAUACUGGGGAUCUCGAGUCCGGAAGAGGUGAGUGGAAUUCCCGGUGUAGCGGUGGAAUGCGUAGAGAUCGGGAAGAACACCCGUGGCGAAGGCGGCCGGCUGGGCCGGAUCCGACGCUGAGGAGCGAAAGCAUGGGGAGCGAACAGG